rnacentral:rRNA from 1 species
UACAGAGGUCCCAAGCGUUGUUCGGAUUCACUGGGCGUAAAGGGUGCGUAGGUGGUGGGGUAAGUCGGAUGUGAAAUCCCUGGGCUCAACCCAGGAACUGCGUCCGAUACUGGAAGGCUUGAAUCCGGGAGAGGGAUGCGGAAUUCCAGGUGUAGCGGUGAAAUGCGUAGAUAUCUGGAGGAACACCGGUGGCGAAGGCGGCAUCCUGGACCGGCAUUGACGCUGAUGAGCGAAAGCCAGGGGAGCAAACGGG